rnacentral:rRNA from 1 species
CCAAACUGUUGCCUCGGCGGGAUCUCUGCCCCGGGUGCGUCGCAGCCCCGGACCAAGGCGCCCGCCGGAGGACCAACCAAAACUCUUUUUGUAUACCCCCUCGCGGGUUUUUUAUAAUCUGAGCCUUCUCGGCGCCUCUCGUAGGCGUUUCGAAAAUGAAUCAAAACUUUCAACAACGGAUCUCUUGGUUCUGGCAUCGAUGAAGAACGCAGCGAAAUGCGAUAAGUAAUGUGAAUUGCAGAAUUCAGUGAAUCAUCGAAUCUUUGAACGCACAUUGCGCCCGCCAGUAUUCUGGCGGGCAUGCCUGUCCGAGCGUCAUUUCAACCCUCGAACCCCUCCGGGGGGUCGGCGUUGGGGAUCGGCCCUCCCUUAGCGGGUGGCCGUCUCCGAAAUACAGUGGCGGUCUCGCCGCAGCCUCUCCUGCGCAGUAGUUUGCACACUCGCAUCGGGAGCGCGGCGCGUCCACAGCCGUUAAACACCCAA